CUUGCACGUAAAGAGGGAAGAAAAGAAGAAACAUAGGGUGAAGGAAGGCUUCAUGGAGAUCCAGCUUCUACUUUGCAGGAAUCGAGGAAUCCAUCCUUGCUUCCCCAACCAAGCUUACUAGGGAUCGAUAGUCCUGGAUGUCCAGCAGCCACUCGGAGCUUCCUUCUUCCUCCCACGGCAUUCGUCCGGCAAUGACGCUGCCGUAGUUGUUGCCAUCGUCGUCACUCGAGAGCUGCCACAGUUCAUCCAAAAGCACCGGCGCGCUGUCUUCCCACAGGCAGCUCAUCAAAGGGUCCGUGCCGCCAUCGAUGGAGCUUGCUUCCGCUGGGCUCCUGUUGUCCGAGGACGGUAUUUGGCCUUCGUUUCCUUGUGACUGUAACUGGUCGUCGGACUUGUCCGUGGUCACGGUGGACGGCGAGGCCUCGGGGCUCGCCUGCCGAUGGAGCGGACGAUGAGUGACGGGAUCGAUGCCCAUCUUGAGAAGCUUCUUCUUGAUGUGAGUGUUCCACAGGUUCUUGAUCUCGUUGUCUGUUCUUCCCGGUAACAUUGCAGCGAUCUUAGACCACCUGAAAAAGAGAAAUGACAACAUCAUAAAAAACAUCUCUCCCUUCCGAUGAACUUCUUGUUUUCAAUUUGAUCCCGCUACGUGAGAUUUCAGAAUUAAUGUACAUGAGAAAGUAUAUUCUCUAGUAUCAGAAUUAGUCAAUCUGAAUAAUAUGGACACAGGUAUCAUAGAUUCUUUCA